UACGAAGGGGGCUAGCGUUGUUCGGAAUUACUGGGCGUAAAGCGCGCGCAGGCGGCCUUUCAAGUCAGUGGUGAAAUCCCGAAGCUCAACUUCGGAAUUGCCAUUGAAACUGCUAGGCUUGGGUACGGGAGAGGUGAGUGGAAUUCCGAGUGUAGAGGUGAAAUUCGUAGAUAUUCGGAAGAACACCAGUGGCGAAGGCGGCUCACUGGCCCGUUACCGACGCUCAGGCGCGACAGCGUGGGGAGCAAACAGG
rnacentral:rRNA from 1 species